rnacentral:rRNA from 1 species
AACUUCGUGUUACACCCUGAACAAGCCCGAUCCCAUCUGAACUCGGAAGCUAAGUAGAGUGGGGCCUGGUUAGUACUUGGAUGGGAGACCACAUAGGAAUACCAGGUGCUGUAGGCG